CGUUGAAACACCUGUCCCCGUAUGAUCAGCGAAGUUAAGCAAAGUCAAGCCUGGUCAUUACCUUGAUGGGUGACCGCUUGUGAAUAACAAGAGCUGGAA